rnacentral:rRNA from 1 species
UACGGGGGGGGCAAGCGUUGUUCGGAAUUACUGGGCGUAAAGGGCUCGUAGGCGGCCAACUAAGUCAGACGUGAAAUCCCUCGGCUUAACCGGGGAACUGCGUCUGAUACUGGAUGGCUUGAGGUUGGGAGAGGGAUGCGGAAUUCCAGGUGUAGCGGUGAAAUGCGUAGAUAUCUGGAGGAACACCGGUGGCGAAGGCGGAUCUCUGGGCCGUAACCGACGCUGAGGAGCGAAAGCAUGGGGAGCGAACAGG